rnacentral:misc_RNA from 1 species
GAAAUGCGAUAAGUAAUGUGAAUUGCAGAAUUCAGUGAAUCAUCGAAUCUUUGAACGCACAUUGCGCCCGCUAGUAUUCUGGCGGGCAUGCCUGUUCGAGCGUCAUUUCCACCAUCAGGCCCCCGGGCCUGUGUUGGGGACCUGCGGCUGCCCGCAGGCCCCGAAAUUCAGUGGCGGUCGCGCCGUAGCAACCGAGCGUAGUAACUAAAACGUCUCGCUCUGGCUCGCUGGGCGCGCUCCGGCCGUAAAACACCCCCCCUUUUCGCAAAGGUUGACCUCGGAUCAGGUAGGAAUACCCGCUGAACUUAAGC